rnacentral:rRNA from 1 species
CCUACGGGAGGCAGCAGUGGGGAAUAUUGGACAAUGGGGGCAACCCUGAUCCAGCCAUGCCGCGUGUGUGAAGAAGGCCCUCGGGUUGUAAAGCACUUUCAGUGAGGAAGAACGCCUGGUGGUUAAUACCCAUCAGGAAAGACAUCACUCACAGAAGAAGCACCGGCUAACUCCGUGCCAGCAGCCGCGGUAAUACGGAGGGUGCGAGCGUUAAUCGGAAUUACUGGGCGUAAAGCGCGCGUAGGUGGCUUGAUAAGCCGGUUGUGAAAGCCCCGGGCUCAACCUGGGAACGGCAUCCGGAACUGUCAAGCUAGAGUGCAGGAGAGGAAGGUAGAAUCCCCGGUGUAGCGGUGAAAUGCGUAGAGAUCGGGAGGAAUACCAGUGGCGAAGGCGGCCUUCUGGACUGACACUGACACUGAGGUGCGAAAGCGUGGGUAGCAAACAGGAUUAGAUACCCUGGUAGUC